rnacentral:misc_RNA from 1 species
UCUAUUAAAAACCUCUCCCCCGGCUUCACCUUCUCUUUCCGUCUCAAACAAUGGGCUUUUCCUCCUCUCCUUGUUUUUGAAUUUUUUUUUUUUUCGUUUUUCUUUUUCAAGGACGAGUCUUCUGUCUGAUUUUAUAUUGUUUUCGAUCAAAUAGAAGGCUUGUUUUUGUUUUUGGAGUAGAAAACGUAAAUGGGUUUGGUGAUUUUCGGUAGAGAAGAUGAUGACGGCGACGUUUUGUUUCCGCCGGCGAAUUUUUCUAUGGUCGAAGACGGUGUUUUCAGAUCUUCCUUCCCUCAAUCCCUCAAUUUCUCUUUCCUUCAAACUCUAAAUCUUCGAUCGAUCAUAUACUUGUGCUUUGAGCCAUAUCCACAAGAGAAUAUGGAGUUUCUUCGUGCUCAUAAUAUUAAACUAUUCCAGUUUGGAAUUGAGGGGAAGACGGAUUCUUCUGUAUCUAUUCCCAAGGAUACUAUAAUGGAGGCUCUGAAAAUCUUAAUUGAUGUAAGGAAUCAUCCGGUUCUGAUUCAUUGCAAACGAGGAAAGCAUCGGACGGGUUGUCUUGUUGGUUGCUUUAGAAAACUGCAAAAUUGGUGCUUGCCUUCUGUUUUUGAGGAAUACCGACAGUUUGCUGGUGUGAAAUCAAGGAUUGCUGAUCUGAAAUUUAUGGAAUCCUUCGAUGUGACGUGCCUGAGGCAGUGUCUGUACAGCAUUAUCUACCAGUACCAUGGAUAUGGUUCAAACAAGAGGCGUUUACUUUAUAGAGAAGAGAAUAUACAGAAGCCCCAAAUCAAGUCAAAUUAAGAACCACCUUUUAGUUUUGGUUCCUAACCACACUCAAGCCCAUUCAAAGAGCAUGCAUCUAUGAUAUGUUUUAGAAUCAAAUUACAUUUAUUUAUGAUUUCAUUUGUCGAAACAUAAUCCAUUUGUACUCUUUGAUUCAUCCCCCAUGAUUGUUUUCUUUUCUUUUCUUUGUCUUCCUUAAACGCAUACAAGGAGAGGCAUUGCGAAAUUGCAAUGACAGGGUAAAGUUCUGUACUGUAAUAUAAAAGUUGUGGGCUUCAUCUUCAAAUUAAUCUAGUCAUGUGGGAUGAAUCAAAGAGUACAAAUGGAUUA